UACGUAGGGGGCUAGCGUUGUCCGGAUUUAUUGGGCGUAAAGAGCGUGUAGGCGGCCAGGUAGGUCUGGUGUGAAAACUCGGGGCUUAACCUCGAGAUGUCAUCGGAAACCAUCUGGCUAGAGUCCGGAAGAGGAGAGUGGAAUUCCUGGUGUAGCGGUGAAAUGCGCAGAUAUCAGGAAGAACACCAAUGGCGAAAGCAGCUCUCUGGGACGGUACUGACGCUGAGACGCGAAAGCGUGGGGAGCGAACAGG
rnacentral:rRNA from 1 species